rnacentral:misc_RNA from 1 species
UUUUUUUUUUUUUUUUCUUAUUCUUUUCUCUGUAAAUAAGGUCGUAGGCAACUGUUUCUUUAGCACAUUUGUUGUCUUGAUUUUUGAUCCCUUCUAGGUUAUUCAAUCUAGUUUGAGUAUAUGGCCAUUUUCUUUCUAUGUUUUGCCAUUUUGGCUGCUUGUUUUUGGAAUAUUUUUGAACAUGGCACAAGCUUCUGUUGGUAUGUUCAUUUUUGUUGGUUGUAUAAACUGUUAUUAUAGUGUUUCAGCUUGGCAAUUAAGUAUCAACUCAGGGGAAAACGCUUUGUUGCCUUGUCUUCUCCUUUUUCUGCCAUGUAUAGCCUGGUGCAAUUGAUGAGAAAAGUAUGUAUGCAAAUUUAUGUCGAAUUAUCUUAUUGUCCACAGGAGCUGGAGAAGAAGAGAAAGGAGAGAGCUCAAGCUUUGUAUGAGAGGAAAAAGCAAUUGAAUAAACUCAGAGUGAAGACAGAGAAGGUUGCAGGGGACAGGCUUGGUUCUCAACUAGAGAUACUGACUGCUGUCAAGUACUGAGGUUUUAGCCAUUUAGUAACUUAGCUAAUAGCUCACAAUUUUGUUCAGGAUUCUCAAUGGAUAUUUUUAUGGUUUUACUUUUGAUAGAAGAAAGUGAAAUUGGAAUUACUGCCAAAACUUUUUUUUUUGGUUAAUUA